rnacentral:lncRNA from 1 species
GUUCUGAACUUCAAAAGCUUUUCUCCAUCUUACGCCUUUCUAAAUAAAACAAAGGGCUUGUACAAUACCAGAUUCUAAAACUUUAGUGUGCAAUUCAAGCUAACGCUGAAUACAAGAAUAAAUCACGAAUCCUUUCUUGCGUCACUAUCUGAUAGCUCACAUUUAUAGUCUUUUUUUUUUAAGGAACACAACACUUUACCAAUUCUUUCAUUGGAUCUAUAAAACUCACGUCCCCACCUCCAAAGUUCAGAGACCAAACAUCCACUACACCGAAAGAGAUUAAUAAUUUAGAUGAACAAUCAUUUGCCGUCACAGACACCAUUCAUUCCUCUACUGUACUCCGAAGGCGUCCGCAGGGUCAUAAGGAGUCAGACUCUCUCCAAAACCAUCCCAGUCUCCUGGGGACUCGAUUCCUUCUUCGAGGUGGAUAGAAUUCACUGGCCUCUGGAUAGUAAGCCUUUUUUUUCUUUGCCACUCCACAUGCCUGGGUUUCGGGUAAUCUUCCCAGUUAAAAACGUUUAAAGGAAGCAAAGGUCGAAACGAGGAACAUGGGGAAACGACGAACACUGCAGGCGCGGACGACCUACCCAACCUCAGCUACCGACACUGGAGGGGAAGCCUCCUCCGGAGCCGGGAAAGAGGCGGCGGGCAUCAGGACCCCCACCCACUGGGACCUGCAAUACAGAAUAGAGAUGGGGCAGGCACUGAAGAACCCUGGAGUACUUCCCCAAGUUGGCAGGAAACCAGCUGCAAAACCUCAGGACAGUCACCAAACAACAGUUUCUUCAUCUAUAUAAACAAAGGGGAUCGAACUCGGGACCUUGCACUUGUGAGGCAGGUGCCGGAACCACUGAGCUAAAUCCCCGGCCCAAUAAACUGUCCUUCUAAGCACUACCUAUUAAAGUUUUUCAGCUAAAGUAUUGAAUGUGAUAAAGUUAGCAGACAGAGAUGCUGUGAUUUUCCAUCUAAUAGCAGGAAAAAGAAAACACUCCAUCUGGAUAGAAGUUAAUAAUUCAUCAAAUCUAAUUCCUGGAUAUCUGGCUUUUAAAUAAAACUGAACAAUGAUAUUAUUUUGCUUGGCUUUUAAAAAUUGAAAAUGCUAUUUAUUCUUCUAGUCACUAAAGGAGCAGCACUAAUGUGGUUGGAAUAUCAAGUUGCUAAAGGUUUGUCUACAUUUUAUUUUAUAUUACCAAGGUGUAAUAUAUUUGUCCCUACUUUGUCACCAAAAUAAUACCCAACACCUACAACUUAAAGGUGGAGAGGUUUAUUUUGGCUCAUGUUUCAGUCCAGGGUUUGGUGGCUUCAAGGCAGGACAGCAUGACAGAGAGGUGUAGCCCAAGAAUAGCUGCUCACUUUGUGGCCCCAGGAAGCAGAGGGCAAUGAGAGGAGCCAGGAAGAGAGAUAUAACCUUCUGGGCCACACCCAAAGUGACUCGCCUCUUCUGACUGGACUCUGCUGCUAGCAAGUCAGCUAUAAGCCCCAUAAUCCAGUCAUCUUUCACAAUCCCCACCUAUGAGUGCAUGAGGCUUUGGAGGGCACUUUAGAUCUAAACCAUAACAUUCUUCCCCACCCUCCCAAAGAUUCAUGUGCACCCUUUAUGCAAAAUGCAUUUAGUUCAUCUCUAAUAGUUGCUAAAGUGCUAACAGUUUCAGCAUUUCUAAAAAGUCCAAGUCCAAAGUCUCCUCUGAGACUUAAGGCAAUCUCUUAGAUGUGAGCCUCUGCAAAAAUUAAAAAGAAGGUUAAGUGUUGUUGACAUACAAUGGCAAGGGUAAACAUUUCCAUUCUAAAAUGUAAAAAUAGGGGGAUAGAAACUGAUGGAACCAAAGCAUGACUGAAAUCCAGCAGAGCAAACAGUAAAUCCAGUAGCUCCAAGUCCAGCACCUGGGGCAAGUUGUUGCAACAAGUGAACUCCAAAGGACUUGAGUGGUCCCACCCCUAUGGCAUCCCUAGUGGUUGUAGCCCUCACGGCUUCUCCCCUGGGCUGGCUUUGCUCAUUCCUUGUGGCUUUCUUCACUAGACAUUCCACGUUCCUGGCAUUUCCAACUUCCUGGAGUUUUUAAACUGCAUUUUUUGCUUCACUCUCACAGUUCCAUGCUCUGCCCUUUCAGGGGCACGCUAUCUGGCCUCCAAGGCCUUCUUCUGAAAUCUGGAUGGAAGCCUUCCUGACCCCACAACUCUUGCAUUCUUUGUGCCUGUAAAACCAGUGCCAUAUGGAUGACUCCAAGUACUGCUGCCAGCUCAAGUAGUAAUCAGGCUCCCUUGAAUCAUGGUUGUACAGGUUUCUGAGUGCCUGGAUGGCUGAGCAGUAUGAACCAAAUCCCAGGGAACCAAUUUCCUAGGUGGCUGUUGUCAAGCAGGGUGCCCUAGGGCCCCCUUGCCAUGGAUGGGGCUUUGCUUGUUCCUCACGUGCUCUCAAGCCCUCUUUCCUAUUGUCCUGCUGUAAAGUACUUGGCUUCUUUUUAGUGCUAAUCUUUUCAGCAAACAAGAUUUUCUCUGUUCCAUCUUUGUGAGAAAUUUUCUCCUGGCAAAACUGAAAACUUUCUUUUCUUUUCCCCUAGAAAGGAAAGAAGGGAAUGGAAUUAAUAUGAGAAAAUGAAAAAAUGGAAACAAAGUCUUUGUAAAUAGGGAGGGAUGGAGGGGUUGAAGAGAGGACAGGGUAAGGGGGAAAAAUAAGAACCAAGAGAGAUUAUGUAAAAGUGCAAAUUUCCCAUGAUGAAUGCCAUUAUAUUGUAUACCUAAAAUGUACCAAUAAAAUAAAAUUUAAAAAAGAGAUCAUAUUGCCAAAUUAUCUCUGAUGAAGUUUUUAUACAUAUAUUCUCAUGUCAUUUGCUGCAUCUUUAAAAUUAUAAAAAACAAAAAAAACAAAACAAAAAACUGAAAACUUUCUAAGUGGACUUUUGCUUCUUCUCAGUAUAAACCUGGAUAAAAGCAGCAAGCAGUAUCCAUGCUACAGCCUGAACAGUGGACUGCUUUGAAAUUUCCUCUGCCAGAUUAAUUAGUUCACCACUCUUAAAUCUCAGUCUCCUAUAAAGUUUUAGGACAUGAGUAAAAUGUAGACAACUUUUCCUCCAGAGCAUAAUACAUGCGGUCUGGAGUCCAGCUGCCAAUGGAGUCCUUCUUCCCAACCGGAAACUUCUGAGCCUGGUCUUUACUAUCUGUAUUUCUAUCAACAUUCUGGUCUUCUGAACUCUAACCAGACUCUCCCAUCAAGCUCAGCUUACAGCAUUCUAGGACUACUUCUCCAGCCUGCACUGCCAAAUCUUUCCAAACUCCUCCAGUGAACCAGUUUCAAAAGCUUCUGAACAACACGAUCAGGUGUCAUCCCAGUAAUUACCCCACUUCUUGGGACCAAAAUCUGUCUUGUUGAUGAGGCACAAUACCCAACAUUUGCAACUUAAAGGUGGAGAGGUUCAUUUUUGCUUAUGUUUAAGUUCAAAGUUGGCUGGCUCCAAGGCAGGAUGGCAUG